GCCACCAGCAGCUGGUAUGUGGCUGUGCCAAGGGUAGCCCCCACCAAAGGGGCCACCACAGGCACCCACCACCAGCCAUUGCCAGCACUGCAAGAGAAGGACAAAAGAGACGCAUCAGGAAUGGUUCCCUUAGUCUCCCCUCUCCUCAAGGACUGAGCCAGUAACCAAGGGAGCUCCCUAAAGUAGUUCCUGGAGUGAAAGACACCAGGAAGAGAGAGGAGAGACCACCAGAAGAACUUAGUCCAGCCUCUAGCCUUAGGGAAUUAUCUGAAUAUACCCAUUUGCUGAUGAGCACACUGAUGCAAGGUGUAUCUGAGGGACAAGCAGCAAGGUCCUGAGUGGAGUUGACACCAGAGAGCUUCAGGUGUGAGGCGUCAGAGGACAGUACUUACCGUCAUUGCCCUGGCAUAGAUUUCUGCUAAGACACCCACUGCCACAUACACGUCCCACCCCUUCCGAUGACCAGACCCCACCCUGCUCACCUGAGACAUUGCCCGCCACGUAGAUGGCUAUUGUAACUGCCAGAGAACCAGCCAGAAACAUGGUGAAGAAGUUCCCUUUGGUUUCUCCACUGGUGACAGCCUGGGCCACAGCCCCCUGAGUGAGGAGCUGGCAGGGAGAGGAAAGUUACUGCCUACCAUGAGCACAAAUACACCCAGAAACUCUGCCAAGCACUGUCGGGCCAGGAGGCUGUGGAUCCGAAAGUAGCCCCUCAUUUUGGCCAGCAGCUGAUCCGGGGCCAUGGUGGUGUCUUGCU